UCCGGGGCGGCCUCGCCUCCUCCUCCUCCUCCUCCUCCUCUUCCUCCUCUUCCUCCUCCUCCUCCCGCUCCUCCUCCCGCUCCUCCCCGCGCCGACAUGUUGCGCCUCCUCCUCCUCCGGGCGGCCUCCGCCCCUUCCACCGCCCCCCGGAGCCGGCGGGGGCUGCACGGCCCCGGUGCGACCCCCGGUCCGGACCCCCCUCCGGCCCCGCGACCCCUCUACAUGGACGUGCAGGCCACCACCCCGCUGGACCCCCGGGUGCUGGACGCCAUGCUGCCCUACCUGGUCAACCUCUACGGGAACCCGCACUCGCGCACCCACGCCUACGGCUGGGAGAGCGAGGCCGCCGUGGAGCGCGCCCGCCAGCAAGUGGCCGCGCUGAUCGGCGCCGACCCCCGCGAGAUCGUCUUCACCAGCGGAGCCACCGAGUCCAACAACCUGGCCGUCAAGGGCGUGGCCAGGUUCUACAAGUCGCGGAAGAAGCACGUGGUGACCACGCAGACGGAGCACAAGUGCGUGCUGGACUCGUGCCGGGCCCUGGAGGCCGAGGGUUUCCGCGUCACCUACCUGCCCGUCCAGCGCAGCGGGAUCGUCGACCUCGAGGAGCUGGAGGCUGCCAUCCAGCCCGACACCGGCCUGGUGUCCGUCAUGGCCGUCAACAACGAGAUCGGCGUCAAGCAGCCCGUCCGGGACAUCGGGCACAUCUGCAGUUCCCGCAAGGUCCACUUCCACACGGACGCCGCUCAGGCGGUGGGGAAGAUCCCGCUGGACGUGAACGACAUGAAGAUCGACCUCAUGAGCAUCAGCGGCCACAAGCUGUACGGCCCUAAAGGGGUGGGAGCGGUGUACAUCCGGCGUCGCCCCCGGGUCCGCGUGGAGCCCCUGCAGAGCGGCGGCGGGCAAGAGCGGGGCCUGCGUUCCGGGACGGUGCCCACACCCCUCGCCGUGGGACUGGGGGCCGCCUGCGAGGUGGCGCAGCAGGAGAUGGAGUACGACCACCGGAGGAUCUCGACGCUGGCGGAGCGGCUGACGGGGAAGAUCCUGAGCGGCCUGCCCGACGUGGUGAUCAACGGGGACCCGCAACAUCACUACCCAGGCUGCAUCAACCUGUCCUUCGCCUACGUGGAAGGGGAGAGCCUGCUCAUGGCGCUCAAGGACGUGGCCCUGUCCUCCGGCAGCGCCUGCACGUCCGCCUCCCUGGAGCCGUCCUACGUCCUGAGGGCCAUCGGCACGGACGAGGAUCUGGCCCACUCCUCCAUCAGGUCCGGGCGGGGGGUUUGGCAUCGGCCGCUUCACCACUGAGGAAGAAGUGGAUUUCACCGCCGACAAGUGCAUCCAUCACGUGCGGCGCCUGCGGGAGAUGAGCCCCCUGUGGGAGAUGGUGCAGGACGGCGUGGACCUGAAAAGCAUCAAGUGGACGCAGCACUAGAGCGGACGCGUGCCGGGGGCCCGGCCCGGGGCUCCGGCUCCUGUGGAGAAACGGACUGGCCCCGGGCGACGCCGGGUGCGGGGCCCGCGGAGAAAUCCCCCCCGAUCCUUGACUUCCCUCCCCAACCCCCUCCCACUCUGCUGGACAGAGCCGGCCGGGCCGCCCGGUCGGUCAGGGGCUCCGGCCUCCGGGUCCCCGCUCCGGUUCCUCGGGGCCCGGAGCAGUCGGGUCCCCGCCCGGCCGGGCCCCCGCCGACCGGCGCCUCGUCCGGGACCCUCUGCUCGCGGCCCGGGACCGAGUCGCGCCCCUUGGGCGAGCCGCCGGGGCCCAGCCGGCGGCGGGGCCGGGCGGUCGGCGGCCGUGGCUCGGCACGGCGGCCCCCGAGGGAGCCGUCUGUUUCCGUGCGGGUCUUCGAAAUAAACGACGUCUCUGCCGGGC